rnacentral:tRNA from 10 species
ACACUACAGCUCCCUGGUGGUCUAGUGGUUAGGAUUCGGUGCUCUCACCGGCACGGCCCGGGUUCGAUUCCCGGU